UACGUAGGGGGCAAGCGUUGUCCGGAAUUACUGGGCGUAAAGGGCGUGUAGGCGGCCGAUCAAGUCAGGUGUGAAAUUCCAGGGCCCAACCCUGGACGUGCACUUGAAACUGGUUGGCUUGAGUGCAGAAGAGGAAAGUGGAAUUCCCAGUGUAGCGGUGAAAUGCGUAGAUAUUGGGAGGAACACCAGUGGCGAAGGCGACUUUCUGGUCUGUAACUGACGCUGAGGCGCGAAAGCUAGGGGAG
rnacentral:rRNA from 1 species